UACCGAGGGCGCAAGCGUUAAUCGGGAUUACUGGGCGUAAAGCGUGCGUAGCCGGUUCUUUAAGUCGGCUGUGAAAUCCCCGGGCUCAACCUGGGAAUUGCAUUCGAUACUGGAUAGCUAGAGUUCGGCAGAGGGAAGCGGAAUUUCGGGUGUAGCGGUGAAAUGCGUAGAUAUCCGAAGGAACAUCAGUGGCGAAGGCGGCUUCCUGGACCAGAACUGACGAUCAGGCACGAAAGCGUGGGGAGCAAACAGG
rnacentral:rRNA from 1 species